GUACUACUCCCUCCGUUCCAAAAUAGAUGACCCAACUUUGUAUUAACUUUGUACAAAGUUAAUACAAAGUUGGGUCAUCUAUUUUGUACAAAGUUAGUACAAAGUUGGGUCAUCUAUUUUGGAACGGAGGGAGUACUAU
rfam:Triticum aestivum genome assembly, contig: Triticum_aestivum_CS42_TGACv1_scaffold_569590_7AS